CUUGUGUGGACUCUUCCCAAGGCCCUGAACCUCAGUUUCUGUUUGCAAUUUUGGAUUAUUUCUCUGAAAGGGCAUCCCCCAGAUUGUAUAAGAUUCGGACUCCACGAGCCCCCACUCCACCGCUGGCCUGCAGCCGUCCCCUUGCUGGCGCUCCAUGCCAGGAGCAGCCUCGGUAGGCAGGAUUGCUGUCCCAUGGGUUUCUACACCUUUCCUGGCUCUGUGGACAGCAUCACAAGUCCGAGAAGCUUUGGAAAGAGAGGCCAGUGCUAGGCUGUUUUAUCUGUUUGUGGGGGCUGGGGGUGAAUGAGAGGCCUUCUUGAGGUCUCUUCCAGCCAAGCACCUCCUGGAUAACCGCACUGAGUCGCUUCCCUUCAGAGCCUCAGUGAGCAGAAGCUAACAUUCCCAACAGGCAGCCUCAGUUUGAGCAGAGCCGAACAGCCCGACGGGCGGGCGAGGCCUGUCAUCCGUCCUGUCUGGCCACAUUCAUUCCGGGCUGUCCUGCUUUGUGGCUUCCUCACCACCACCCAAACUUGUCUGCAUGUCCUACAUCCAUCCAGAUCAGCAGAGAUGGCAGAAAUACUCCCUCAGGCCCUGCACACUCCUGGACGCACAGACCCGUCCUUCUUCUCAACAGGACUCCUGUCUCCUCCCGUCGCCCGUCCUCCAAGCCAGCCCUGAUUCCGACCGACGCUGCAAACACCUUGAAUGAGUCUGUUACCGCAAGAUGAGGGCCUCUUGCACCUGACUCCCUCGGAAUGCCCAUCCCUUGAUGCCUCCAGGCUCCAGCAGUGGAGGGUCGGGGAGCUCAGAUUUUAGAAAGGAUGGAGGAUCCUGGAAGAUUUCCUCCUCCUCGACCAGACAGAGAGGUGACAAUGGAGACACACGACAAUGGAGACACACAGGGAGAACACCAGGUGAUGGCAGAGGCAGAGACUGGAGUGAUGGAGCCGCAAGCUGAGGAACACCCAAGAUGGGCAGCCAACCACCAGAAGCCAGGAGAGAGGCCUGGAACAGGUUCUCCCUCACAGCCUCAGAAGGCACCAACCCCGCCCACACCUUCAUGUCAAAUUUCUAGCCUCCAGAGCCAUGAGACAACAUAUUUCUGCUGUUGUAAACCAAUCAGUUUGUGGUACUUUGCGUAUGGCAGCCCCAGGAAACUAACACACUCCAUAAUAAUCAUCAUCGCCAUUGAGUUAUUAUAUGUGGCGGGCACCAAGUUAAGGGGUUUAUACAAUUACAUCACUUGCUUUUCACUGCAGCCCUACAAGAAAGAGAUAUUAUUCAUGUUAUCCCACAUCACCAUUGAGGAGAGGGAAGUGUAGGGAGGCCUACAGUCAAAUCAUUUUAGGCAGAAACUUAGACAACAGAGGGAAGUACUGUGGGGUGAGAAACCUUCAAAUCACACUUCAGAAGCAAUGACUUACUUCAUUCAAGUGUUAGGUCAGUCCUGCUCAGCACUCAAGG
rnacentral:lncRNA from 1 species